rnacentral:rRNA from 1 species
UACGGGGGGGGCAAGCGUUGUUCGGAAUUACUGGGCGUAAAGGGCUUGUAGGUGGCCAACUAAGUCAGACGUGAAAUCCCUCGGCUUAACCGGGGAACUGCGUCUGAUACUGGAUGGCUUGAGUGUGGGAGAGGGAUGCGGAAUUCCAGGUGUAGCGGUGAAAUGCGUAGAUAUCUGGAGGAACACCGGUGGCGAAGGCGGGAUCCUGGGCCAGUACUGACGCUGAGGAGCGAAAGCGUGGGGAGCAAACAGG